GAGAUCGAGGGGAGGACCCAGGAGGCGGCGGCGCAUAGGAGGGGCGCUGCAGCCAAGCCACCAGCCUAGCUGUAGAGUGCUGUACUCCACAUACUCCUGGAGAUCCAGCCCCGCAGAUCGCGCAUCCCUGCCGCCGUUCGCCUUUAGGCAUCCUAAACUUGAGCGGCAGCUCGGUUUCAACCGAUCGACUGCUUGCUUCAAAUCAGACAGCAUUGCGACCCAGACACCGGAGUCCGCCGAGUGAAAGCACAACGCAGAGUAGGACAAGACCAAGAAAACAGCCACGCGAAGCAGCAACUCUAGGUUGGGAGUGCAGAAGCCAACAAGUGAGAAGGCGCCGCGUUUCCGGGGCGCAGCUAGAAUGCUAGAGCAGGCGCCAGAGAAGACAGCUAGAGUCGGAAUCAGAGCCCAAACCUCUCUCCUGGAGGCGGCUCAGCUUCUUUCUUUUCUAGACCUUCUUCGGUUGCGCUGGGCUUCCUUUUAUCCGGGUAGGAGCCACAUCCCUGGGGAAUAUGCAGCGCGCGUGGAUCCUGCUCACCUUGGGCUUGAUGGCCUGUGUGUCCUCAGAGACGAAAGAAGGCUUGCCAUCUUUCAUACCCAGGCCAAAAAUACAUCCCAGUAUCUCAAAGUCAUCUCCUUCUUUCAUGGAGUAGGAGCCAAUGAAAAGUCUCAGAAGAAAGCCUACAUCAUGAAGAAGAGCUUUGACUGAAAACAAGGCCAUCAUUUUUUAACUUUUUAGGUUGCCAUAGAGUUUUAUUUCUAGCCUGGAAUAAAAUUGACUGGAAUUUUGAAGAAA
rnacentral:lncRNA from 1 species